AACGAAUGCUGGCGGCAUGCUUUACACAUGCAAGUCGAACGGUAACAGGCCGCAAGGUGCUGACGAGUGGCGAACGGGUGAGUAAUGCAUCGGAACGUGCCCAGUCGUGGGGGAUAACGCAGCGAAAGCUGCGCUAAUACCGCAUACGAUCUAUGGAUGAAAGCGGGGGACCGUAAGGCCUCGCGCGAUUGGAGCGGCCGAUGUCAGAUUAGGUAGUUGGUGGGGUAAAGGCUCACCAAGCCAACGAUCUGUAGCUGGUCUGAGAGGACGACCAGCCACACUGGGACUGAGACACGGCCCAGACUCCUACGGGAGGCAGCAGUGGGGAAUAUUGGACAAUGGGCGAAAGCCUGAUCCAGCAAUGCCGCGUGAGUGAUGAAGGCCUUAGGGUUGUAAAGCUCUUUUACCCGAGAUGAUAAUGACAGUAUCGGGAGAAUAAGCUCCGGCCAACUCCGUGCCAGCAGCCGCGGGAC
rnacentral:rRNA from 1 species